rnacentral:rRNA from 1 species
AAGCUCGUAGUUGAAUUUCGGGGUUAGUAGGUUGGUCAUGCCUCUGGUAUGUACUGGUCUCACUGAUUCCUCCUUCCUUAUGAACCGUAAUGCCAUUAAUUUGGUGUUGCGGGGAAUUUGGACUGUUACUUUGAAAAAAUUAGAGUGUUUAAAGCAAGCUAACGCUUGAAUACAUUAGCAUGGAAUAAUGAAAUAGGACGUUCGAUCUUAUUUUGUUUGGUUUCUAGGAUUGACGUAAUGAUUAAUAGGGAUGUUGGG